rnacentral:piRNA from 1 species
UAACAUCACCAUGUUUUCUCGUUGGCCA